rnacentral:lncRNA from 1 species
GACAGAUUGGAGCUUAACUCUGUAGGACGUUGGUCUUCCAGGAGCAGGACCAGACAGCCCUGCUGUAGAAUUGAGCUGAUUUUGUAUCUUUAGCUAACCAGAUACUCAUGGAGAAGAGCACAUUUUCUUUAUAGAGAUACACCACAUUUAUAGCAAGAUUUUUCUGCUUUGUUCCUUAGUGGACAGAAGCGCUUAGUGCUUUCAGCCUGGACACGAAUAAAACAAUUAACCAGAGAUUCACAACCAUCGGGGGCUGCUUUGUCUUCCUGUUUGUCAUUUUGUCCUCUUGGGACACAAACAAGUAAGAGAAAGAUCCAAUUACCUCCUUCAAGAGGAGAGGCAAUUCUCCUUAAGGCGAUCGUCUCAGAUCUGCAACAUUAGGUUCCUGCAACCAUUUAUGCAAACCAGACUUAUACAAAAGCAAGACAACACACUGAUACAGAAAUGGAAAUCCACCCCUUGUCAUGAUAAAACAAUGCUGUGCCAGACGGCGCCAUGAUGGGUGUGCUGGAGUGUGAUAAUUCAAGAGCUGCAGGGGAGGACUGUGAUUUAUGGGAUAUCCUUUAUGUGUUACGAAACGUGUUCUUUCGAAAGCCCACCCCCAACAAUUCAUAUGAGUAAUUUCCCUAAUUGAUAGUUGCUUGGAAACUCUAUGAGA